AUCGAUGAAGAACGCAGCGAAAUGCGAUACGUAAUGUGAAUUGCAGAAUUCAGUGAAUCAUCGAAUCUUUGAACGCACCUUGCGCCCCUUGGUAUUCCGAGGGGCACACCCGUUUGAGUGUCGUGAAAAUCUCAACCUUCUCGGUUUCUUCUGAACACCGAAGGAGGCUUGGACUUUGGAGGCCUUUGCUGGUGUCUCUCACCAGCUCCUCUCAAAUGAAUUAGCGGGGUCCUCUUUGCCGAUCCUCGACAUGUGAUAAGAUGUUUCCAUGUCUUGGCUUUAUGGCUCUGUUGCCUUUGGGACCCGCUUCUAACCGUCUCAGCGAGACAACGUUCGAGCGUGUCUCCCCUCUCGGGGAAACACUCUUGAACCCACGAAACCUUGACCUCAAAUCGGGUGAGACUACCCGCUGAACUUAAGCAUAUCAAUAAGCGGAGGAAAAGAAACUAACAAGGAUUCCCCUAGUAACUGCGAGUGAAGCGGGAAAAGCUCAAAUUUAAAAUCUGGCGGCCUUUGGCCGCCCGAGUUGUAAUUUAGAGAAGCGUCUUCCGCGCCAGUCCGUGCACAAGUCUCCUGGAAUGGAGCGUCAUAGAGGGUGAGAAUCCCGUCUUUGGCAUGGAUACCCGGUGCUUCUGUGAUGCGCUCUCGAAGAGUCGAGUUGUUUGGGAAUGCAGCUCAAAAUGGGUGGUGAACUCCAUCUAAAGCUAAAUAUUGGCGAGAGACCGAUAGCGAACAAGUACCGUGAGGGAAAGAUGAAAAGCACUUUGGAAAGAGAGUGAAACAGUACGUGAAAUUGUUGAAAGGGAAACGCUUGAAGUCAGUCGCGUCGACCGAGACUCAGCCUUGCCUUGGCUUGGUGUACUUCUCGGCCCGACGGGUCAGCGUCAAUUUUGCCCCUCGGAUAAUGGCAAGGGAAAGGUGGCACCUUUACGGGUGUGUUAUAGUCUCCUGUCGCAUGCGAGGGGUGGGAUUGAGGAACUCAGCGCGCACCUUUGGUGUCGGGGCUUCUGCCCACGUCACGCGCUUAGGAUGCUGGCGUAAUGGCUUUAAACGACCCGUCUUGAAACACGG
rnacentral:rRNA from 1 species